AUGGGAGUUUUUAUUUUCACGGCGUUGUUUUGGACCUUAAGUGGAGUGGGAUGCCUGCCUCUAUCCUCCUCUCUACAGGUUGGAAAGGUUGCUGACUGUAUUCAGGACUCCCUGAAUAGUAAUGGCGGUGUGCCACAUCCUGGCUGUGACAAACAGAAAACUGAUGAUGCUGUCCACAGGCACCAGGGUCUCCUGAGGGAGCUGCAGGAGCUGGCCCAGGAGGAAAGGGAAAGAGAGAGAGAGUAUGGGAGGGAGAAAGAGCGAAAUGAGGAGAACCAGGCUGAGGGAGAGAGGGACAGAGAGAGGAGGGAGGAGGAGGAGCAGAAUGAUGACCAGAAGGAGACUGAGAAAGAAGAACUGAGAGAGAAAGAGAUGAAGGCAGAAGGGGUAGAGGAGGAGGAGGAGAAGGUGGAGAUUAAGGACAGAACGAAUGGGGAGAUGAGAGAAGAGCCCAGACUGGAGGAGAAAAGGGGGGAUGAGGAAGAGAACGUGAAAGAGCUGGAGGAGCUCUUCUCAAAGGAGCAGAGGAAGAUAGGAGAGGAGGAAAAAGAGGACAGGGAGCUCGAGGAGCUGCUCAAGGAGCUGAAGAAGAAAAGGUACGAGUCGGUGAAGGAGAAAGAGCUCCAGAGAGGGUCAGAAGCAGAGGAGGAGAGGAAGAAGGAGGAGGAGCCGAAAAAGGGAGAGAGAGAGCGGCUGGAAAUUCUUGAGAUUGAAGAGAGGAAACGCAGCAAGGAGAGGAACAACAACGAGGUGGAGCUGCUGGUGGAGAAAGAGAAGGUGGAGCGGGAGCUCAAGGAGCUGCUGGAGGAACAGGACAGCAAGAAGAACGUGGAGAAGGAGAAAGAGAGGGAGGAAAAACAGGAGGAACUAGCGGAGCUCCUCAAAAAGAUGAAACGUGUGCAAGAGGAGGAGGAGGAGAGAGAAGAGGAGGAGAAAAGACAAACUGCCAGGGAUGAGGCGAAGGUGGACAACGAGAGCGAGAAGGAGGGAGAGAUUCGCAAGGAAUUGGAGAAGGUGAAAGCGGGAGAGAGUGAGAAGGAGGUUAAGGAUCCUCAGCAGAAGAGAGUGAUGGAGAAAGCGAGUGAUGAGUCGACCCGUCAGUUUGAAAAGGAGAGGAACAGGGACGAUGACGAUGAUGAAGAAGCAGAUGAGGUUGAAAACAAUGAGGAUUGGGAAGAGGAAGAGGAGGAUGAGGACAAAAAGGAGGAUGUUGAGCAGGAUGAAGGAGAAGAGCUUCUGGAGAUUGAGGCAGAGCUGAGAAAAGUGGCUGCAGAGCUUCGGGAGCUUCACAGGGGUCGUUAA
rnacentral:lncRNA from 8 species